rnacentral:rRNA from 1 species
CAAUAGCGUAUAUUAAAGUUGUUGCGGUUAAAAAGCUCGUAGUUGGAUUUCUGCUGAGGACGAUCGGUCCGCCCUCUGGGUGAGCAUUGACUCGGCCUUGGCAUCUUCUUGGAGAACGCUACUGCACUUGACUGUGUGGUGCGGUAUCCAGGACUUUUACUUUGAGGAAAUUAGAGUGUUUCAAGCAGGCGCACGCCUUGAAUACGUUAGCAUGGAAUAAUGCGACAGGACCUCGGUCCAUUUUGUUGGUUUCUUGGGUUGAGGUAAUGAUUAACAGGGAUGGUUGGGGGCGAUUCGUAUUUAACUGUCAGAGGUGAAAUUCUUGGAUUUGUUAAAGACGAACUACUGCGAAAGCAUUUGCCAAGGAUGUUUUCAUUGAUCAAGAACGAAAGUUAGGGAUCGAAGAUGAUCAGAUACCAU